UCAGGACGAACGCUGGCGGCGUGCUUAACACAUGCAAGUCGAACGGUAAGGCCCUUUCGGGGGUACACGAGUGGCGAACGGGUGAGUAACACGUGGGUGAUCUGCCCUGCACUUUGGGAUAAGCCUGGGAAACUGGGUCUAAUACCGAAUACACCUUGCUGGUCGCAUGGCCUGGCGGGGGAAAGCUUUUGCGGUGUGGGAUGGGCCCGCGGCCUAUCAGCUUGUUGGUGGGGUGAUGGCCUACCAAGGCGACGACGGGUAGCCGGCCUGAGAGGGUGUCCGGCCACACUGGGACUGAGAUACGGCCCAGACUCCUACGGGAGGCAGCAGUGGGGAAUAUUGCACAAUGGGCGCAAGCCUGAUGCAGCGACGCCGCGUGAGGGAUGACGGCCUUCGGGUUGUAAACCUCUUUCAACAGGGACGAAGCGCAAGUGACGGUACCUGUAGAAGAAGCACCGGCCAACUACGUGCCAGCAGCCGCGGUAAUACGUAGGGUGCGAGCGUUGUCCGGAAUUACUGGGCGUAAAGAGCUCGUAGGUGGUUUGUCGCGUUGUUCGUGAAAACCUGAGGCUUAACCUUGGGCGUGCGGGCGAUACGGGCAGACUGGAGUACUGCAGGGGAGACUGGAAUUCCUGGUGUAGCGGUGGAAUGCGCAGAUAUCAGGAGGAACACCGGUGGCGAAGGCGGGUCUCUGGGCAGUAACUGAC
rnacentral:rRNA from 1 species